AUCAGCCAUGUGAGUGAACCACUAGGGCCUUCUAGCCCAGUCAAGCCUUCAGAUGACUGCAGCCCCCGAUGUCACUAUACGGAGCAGGUGAACCACUCAACUGAACAUUGCCAAGCCACAGAACCAUGAAAGGGAAGACUGGAAAUAGAGUCCUUUAUCUCAGAUAUCAAACCCUGGCCCAGGAUACACAAGACCAGGAGUCAUCACCAUCAGUAACAGUAACAACAGCUUCAUUAACAAGUUGCUGUUCCGACGUGGG
rnacentral:lncRNA from 1 species